rnacentral:rRNA from 1 species
UACGGGGGGGGCAAGCGUUGUUCGGAAUCAUUGGGCUUAAAGGGCGCGUAGGCGGCGGUGUAAGUUGGAAGUGAAAUCCCAUCGGCUCAACCGUGGAAUUGCUCCCAGUACUGCAUCGCUCGAGGGGGAUAGGGGUCUGCGGAACUACCGGUGGAGCGGUGAAAUGUGUUGAUAUCGGUGGGAACGCCAGUGGCGAAAGCGGCAGACUAGACCCUUCCUGACGCUGAUGCGCGAAAGCUAGGGGAGCAAACGGG